rnacentral:lncRNA from 1 species
UGCUACUCCAAAGCGUGAAGCAAGAGGAUCGAGAGUUCUGGGCCUACCUGGGCUACAGAAUGAGCUCAGAGGCUAGCCUGUGCAAAGCAAAGCAGCAAGGCCUUGCCUCAAAUAGACAGACAGACAGACAGACAGACAGACAGACAGAUAGAUAGAUAGAUAGAUAGAUAGAUAGAUAGAUAGAUAGAUAGUUAGAUAAUAGAGGCUUGGGGGGAGCUAGAGAAAUGGCUUUGUAGUUAAGAGCACUAGCUGCUCUUCCAGAGGAGCAAGGCUCAGUGCCCAUCACCCAUGCAUGCAGCUCACAACCAUCUCUAACUCCAGUUCCAGGAAAUCCAACAUUCUCUUAGGUCUCGGCAGGCACCAGGCACACAAGUUAUGCACAGACCCACAUGCAGACAAACACAUCUAUACAGAUAAAGUAAAACAAAUAGCUGGGGUGUGGCUCAGUGACAGCCUUUGCCUAGAAUCUACCAGUAAAGGACUGGGGGCUCAGGAGUAGUGACUGCCUGAAGCUAGUAGUGAGUGGUUGGGAGUAUGCGUUAAUGGUAGAAGUCUUGCCUAGGCUCCAACCAGCGAAGGACUGUGGCUAUGGCUCACCUGUCUGGGGUGUGACUCAGAAGUAGAGUACUUGCCUAGAAUCUAUUAGUAAGGGGAUGAGACAUAGAUCAGUGGUGCAAUGUCUGCCUAGCAUAUGCAAGAUACUGGGUUCAAUCCCCGGCACCACAAAAAGGGUAGAAGAGGGAUAAUUGUGGAAUCUCUGGAGGAGGAAGGAACUAAAGGCGAUCCACAUUAAUGGAGCUGCCCUGUAGUUCUGGGAGGAUCGAAUCUGAACAUGAUUGGCAUGCAGUGUGGUAUAAGCAUAUGCAUUGGCUAUUACUUGUACCUUGCUCAUUAUCCUAGUGGAUGAUCAGUAUAGUAGAUCUGCUGUUUCUAGCUAUCUGUCCUGAGUUCUACUAUUCUCACUUAUAACACUGCAAGUGUGGAGCUGGAGAGAUGGCUCAGAGGUUAAGAACACUCUCUGCCCUUGCAGAGGACCUGGACUCAGUUCCUAGCACCACAUGGUGGCCCACAACUGGCUGUAACUCCAGCUCUAGGAUGCCCUCUUCUAGGGCUCUGUGAGGACCACACAUAGAUGGUGCACAUACAUAAGUGCAGGCAAGGAGAGAUGGCUCAGCGGUUAAGAGCACCAAUUGCUCUUCUGAAGGUCCUGAGUUCAAAUUCCAGCAACCACAUGAUGGCUCACAAACAUCCACAACAAGAUCUGACUCCCUUUUCUGGAAUGUCUGAAGACAGCUACAGUGUACUUACAUAUAAUAAAUAAAUCUUUAAAAAGAAAAUAAGUGAUAAGUGCAGGCAAAAUGCACACAAAUAAAAUU